rnacentral:rRNA from 1 species
CCUACGGGCGGCAGCAGUAGGGAAUCUUCCACAAUGGGCGAAAGCCUGAUGGAGCAACGCCGCGUGGGUGAAGAAGGUCUUCGGAUCGUAAAACCCUGUUGUUAGAGAAGAAAGUGCGUGAGAGUAACUGUUCACGUGUCGACGGUAUCUAACCAGAAAGCCACGGCUAACUACGUGCCAGCAGCCGCGGUAAUACGUAGGGGGCAAGCGUUAGCCGGAUUUAUGGGGCGUAAAGGGAACGCAGGCGGUCUUUUAAGUCUGAUGUGAAAGCCUUCGGCUUAACCGGAGUAGGGCAUUGGAACCUGGGAGACUUGCUUGCAGCAGAGGAGAGUGGAACUCCAUUUGUAGCGGU